AGCCUGGUUACUCAACUAGGCAACCCUAGACUGGUUGACCUCAUUUCACAUAUUCCUUCCCACAGAAACCACAAGAAUGUGGAACUUUCCCACAGUUCUGUUUUCUCUCUCUGCCUUGUGACUGACCCUGGUGCUUCCCCAAGUGGUCCUGAGUGGUGCACUCUGCUCUUCCCAGGAAACUGCAGGAGACUGGCUGUGGAGUGCCACACACCUCCUUAUCACGGCUUGCGUGCUGGGACCUCUAUUCAUUUUAUGCAUUGUGUAUCUCGGAAUUUUCCAGGAUGUGGUGAAGUCGUGUUGCUUGCCCUCAGAAUUAUGCAAAAAGCUAUUCUUUUUCUUGAGCAAGAAAUCGUAGGCACUCCAGAACCCUUUUGACUCAGGCAGAGCUAUGGGGUGGGUUUUCCACAAAAGGCAGAAGGAAUGAAUUGACACUGACUAUGUUAACUAGCCCUCCCAAGGGGAGUGGGGGCCCCUGCUCCAAGCCAAGUAUGAGGGCCAUUCUGAGGCAGGAAGCCUUUAAAAAUUCACAGUGGAGUUCAGCUCCUUUAGCUUUGGGGGUCCAUUACGUAUUGGCUGGGAGAGCUGUAAUCAUCAGUUGCCUAUUUUUUAAAUUAAAAUAAUUAGACCAAUGUAAUGUUCAGGAGAAGGCCAGAAUUGGCAGCCUCUGUUUGUCAGCAACAGGGUCCAGGAGGAACUGGAGCUGUGUAGGCCCUUUGGGACUAGCAUCCUGUGAACUGAGAGUCAGAGAAGAUAUUACCCCACAGAGGGAGGAGGAACAGAGGCCUUCAUCCUGGAGGGAGCCCUUGGCCUUCUGCAAAAGGGGGAUAAGUCGUGCUUGUCCAGCCGUUGGGAGCAUCUUGGGAGGUUCAUGCUUCUCUCUGCUGCUUUCAGACCUCAGGACCCUUAUCAGUGGAUACACACACUGAUUUGCCUCCACGGGUAACCACUGUAGCUGCAAGUUCCCUGCAGGUGUUAAGGGAUUCUGCUCAUGUCCUCUCUGUAAGUAUUCAGGAUGUAAUAGAAGGAAGGAUGAAGCGGAGGAGGAGAAAUGAAGCAAAGUGCUUGAGGAGAGAACCUUCUGGGUGAUGGCAGAGCACGGCAGCUUCCGAAGGGAAGGCCUCCUUACCUCUGCUAGGGUCACUUUGAGCUUUCACCACUCAGGGGGUUAAUAUUUCUGCCCCCAGAGUAGGCUACAGGGAGUGGGUGCUGCUUUUGCACUGUGGGUGUCCAGCAGCUCCUCCCCCCCCCCCCCCGGCCUACCACACCCUCCAAAGUUUGGGGUGGAACCGUAGCCUGUGGGGCUUUUGUCCCACAAACUUCAUUAGGAUACAAGCCCAGUCUCAUUACUUGAGCCUAACUUUGCCACGUUAACCUGUAGAUCGGACGUUCAGAGACCCUACUGGGCCCACAUCUAACUUUCCCCGUCCUCUGUUUGUAGUGGCUCCAUCUAAAUCAGACCCUUUUGGACACUGAGUGAAGAUCCUCUUGUACCUCUUCUAAUAUCCGAUUUCGUGGCUCUGUGGAAUCUUAUACACAAUGUCCCUAAAUAAGACCUCAACCUUAGCACAGAGCUCAGCCCUCUAUUAUCCCAUCCCUCUUCACACUGGGAUCCACAGGCUCAUCGAAACAUUGACACAUGACCUCCACCCCCACUAUUAGACGUGUACCCCCAAGAAAUGCCAUCUUAGACUUCAAUUUUCUAUUCUUACCCAAAGAGCCUUCCAGAGUGAACUAUCUUGUGGCCUGUUGCCUGUCCCCAAUAUCAACCAGACACUUCCUGGGAAACUGAUUCAGGGUCAGACUGUACAAAAUGAAGACAUACAAAACGGAAAAGAGAAUUCUCUCUCCUCUGUCUUUCCAUUCCACCCCAGAGAAAAGAUGUUCAUUCUUGUAAUUACACCAUAACUAUAAAUAAUAGGUUGAUUUCUUUAUCUGGAUUCACCAACUUCCAGCUGCAUCUAUUGCUCUAGGUAAUGCUUAUGACACAAAACGUUGGGAAAAGUUGGAGACAUUGCUCUAUCUGUACUUCUCUGCAUCGUGCACUGUCAUGACCCAGGGAGGAAAACCAAAAGCCUUCAGCCAUCCUCCACACAGGCAAAUUCUCACUGGCUGUUUUCUUCUAAGACUGCAACUUGAAUUUACUGGGGCUUCUCCAUCUGGAUCUACGCUGUCCAGUAGGAUUGUCACUAGUCACAUGUGUGACUAUUUAAACUUAAAUGAAUUAAAAUUAAAUCAAAUUAAAAGUGGUCAAGAGCCACUGAUGGUUAGUGGCCACAGAACUGAAAAGCAGAGAAAUGAAGCAGUUCCAUCCUUACAGAAAGUUCUGAUCUAUACCUGACUCUGAGCUCCCUUUUCCUCAUAUUUCCAUUCCUUUGUAAUAUACACAAGAAAACACUUUUUUUUUUUUUUGUCUAAACCUCUUCCUACUCAAGGCUCCACUCAUCUCUGUGUAAGGAAAGUUUGUUCAAAGAUUUUCCCUACGACAAAGGCCCACCAUUCCACCUCUGAUAAGAAUUGCACCUCUCUGCUGGAAUGCUGAAACACUGGACUGAGUUCUCUUCUGCUUUCGGGACAGGGAUGGGAUGCAAGCCAGCCCCCAGGGGGCCCAGCAGGCCAAGGCCAAGGAGGAACCUGAGUGCUGGACUUAGAUGGGCAGUCUGGAAGACUCUGUACAGACACUGAUGAUCAGAGCUGAGCAAAUCGGAAUCAGGCACUUGGGCAAAGCGUGAAAGACCAUAUCUAAAGAUUAGCAGACCGAGAGAAAUAGAAGCGAACAGUGAGGUCAGUGAAUUCAAUUCUCUUAUCUGAAGAGGAGAACCCUGAACUGGUUAAACAACCGGCACAGCUGACGAUGAAAGGCCUCAAAAUCUGUGUAAUGCCGGAAUGUAGCAAACAGAUCGACUCACAAUGAAGUGCAAGCACAUUAAAGAAAGCGCGUGGUGCUGCGGGGAGACCUCACCAAUGAAAUAAGCACGCUUCAGAAAAAGUUUACUCUAGAAUGGAAUGGUUUUAAAUAACUCCCACUUUUCUUUUGACUUUUGGCAUAAAAUGGGAAAGUUACCCUUCACAACACAGCAAGAGUUGAAACUCACGACUCCACGUGAGUGCGUGCGUGUGUUUGUGUGUGUAUGUUAACUGGGAAAAAAAAUCAAGAACUUUUGUUGCUGUUGUUAAAUACCAACCAUACUCAUGUUGAAAACAAUGCAUUGGUCUACCCAGAAUGAAAGCAGUGAGGGGCACGUAGUAAGCAAUCAAUGAGUACUUGUUGAUUGAUUGAAAAUAAAUCACAAAAUAAAAAUAUAAAUUAGGAGUUUGCGCCUCUGCUGACCAUCCUUUCCCUAGACUAAUGAGUUGUUUAUUUCGCUGGCGACAGCUUCCCCUUAGGGUUUGUUAGUGCAAAAUGGUGUUUACUGAGGCUGGGCAUGUGCUAAUCAGUGUUAGAGAUUAGUCUGUACCUCGAGCAGUGGUAACUCCAGAGACAAGACAGCGGGGACAAAACUUCAUUUGUUUUCAUCUCACAGUGGGUUCUGAUUUAAUUCACGAGUCCUACAAACAAGGAAUUCUGUGAUUGGCAUCUCAGUAAGUGGAGGGGCCCUGUACACUUGGGACAUGUCCUGUGUUUCAAGGGCUAAGAAAGAGGCACUGGCUGGUUAGGAAUUUCAAGCCAGACAGUCAGGUCUGUAAGCAGGAGCUGUGAAUACUUGUACUGCAUGUGGCUUGUGCAUGACGCUCACAUUGCCAAUAAUAGCAACUGAAUGGGCAUUUGUUGUUUUUACUGCUAAGUGUCCAUUUCUCCUUCUUCAGAUGAAAGCGAUCUUACAGAUUGCUUUGGAGGGAGUGAUGUUUCUCUUCCCGCCCCUCGUGUUAAAGCGAUGGCUUACUAGCCAUAAGGAAGACACUCCAAAAUGUAACAUCUCAAAAAAGACACAAGGUUAUUUGUCUCUCAUAUGACAGACAAUCCGGAGCCAGGAAACAGGCUCUGCUCCACGCGGUCAGCCCGGGACCCAGCUUAGCAGGGCAGAUCCGCCAUCCUCAUGGUUGCCAAGAUGGCCCCAGUCUUUGCCAUUUCCACCCAGCGGGAAGGACAGGAAACACGGAGGAGUGCCAGUCCUGGAGGUGUCUACAUAUCACUUCAGGUCAUAUUCCGCUGGCAUGAACUUUGUCCUUGACUACAUUUGGCUGCAAGGGAGACUGGAACUUAGAGUUUCCAGUCAAGCCCCGUGUGUUGUGGCCAUACUCUAGGCAAAAGGCAAGCACAUAAUCAAAGCUAAGGCAAAGGACGCCGUCCCGCAAACACUCUCCCUAGAAAUUUGAAUCUUGAGCAGCGUGGCAAAAAGCCUGGAAACGGCCGGAGCCGGGCCAGCUCAGUGGCAGCAUCCUGAAGAGAUCGUCGACUGAUUUCUGCCGUCCGCACUCCUGGAACCACCCUAAUCCUUGUCUGGCCUUUUCACCUCUCCCCAUGGCAUUGCUGUAGGUAGCCGUUGUUGUUCUGCUAACCCAAGUUGGUGUUCACUGCUUCCAAGAAAGACGCACCUGAUCCAGCUCCCUCUCGUCAACCACCUAACGUCUGUCCCAAUGACAAAGAUUUCCCGCGUGUCACCUGUUGCCAGACAACGUUCUAGGCGCCGGGUUCCAUCAUCGCGCCCUCACUGAGCUCUGUCUGCUUCACAGCCACAUCCUCUGAUUUCCUGUGAGCAAACCUCCUGGCAUUCAGGGCCCUCUCCUCACUUUCUCCCCGGCAGCCUGAGACUCCGGAUCGCACUCUGCAAGUUUCCCACAAGGGCAAGCGCGGGUGAGGAGAUGAUCAACACGGCUUGUGCUUUCCAUGGGCAUUCUCACUUUUAUUUUGCCUGGCUUUUUAUGUUUGCAAUAUGUAAAUCAAUUGCCAGUGCAUCUUGCAAGUAGGUUAUGUCCGGGCAGCGAUCUGACUAUUGCUCUGCAGCCUCAACAGCUCCACCAGCCAUAGGCAUAAUUUUGGUGACAAGCUGGAAUUUGCAUAUUUAGCAGGCAUCAGUGCACUGCGUUCCGGUGCACCCAAAUGAGAAUUCCAUCUUCCUUCAGGCUAUUAUUACCCGCAUCCAAUACCAACAAGCACAUUCAAAAACAGAUGCCUUCAUUAAGGUCUCCCCUUCACCUCAUUGUCAUGCAAAUAGCCCAAAUCAAGGAGUCUAGAAAGUGCCGGAGAGGUGACAGGAGAGCAUCUUAAAUAAGUAGCAAGUCAGUGUUCAGGGCAUUCCUUGAUUAAUUGGGAGUUAUAGCAAAGUGCUACAGGCUUCAGCCAAUGGGAGCUUGCCGACACCAAAUUAUCUUUGAAUACCUCCAGUAACUCUGAGAAACUCCCUCUCGCUACUUCUGUGGAGACUUUGUGGGGUUUCUUGUUUGCCCCGCCUUCCCUUGAGGCGUGGAGGUGGGAUGGAAGCAGGGGUGGGGCUUGGAAGGAGUUGCCUUUUGCAAAUAUUCCAGCUAAUUAGCGGAGCGCCGGGCCGGUAGCCCAAGGGGCAGGUGUCUGGGCAGUGUCUCCGAGUCUGGAGUCUGAUUCGGGUGGACCCUGAGCACUCAGUAAUAGCCCUCUAACAGGUUUCAACCCUAAAGAUAUGUGGUGGCAUGACGGCAUGAAUAAUUCAGUGAGCAUGAGGUCUUGAACCCACGUUUUUCUCUCAUGAAGAGGAAAGCCACGAGCCUCAGGUACCAAGUUUCCAACUUCUCAGAGCUAAAUCUCGCUCUUUCAGAGCUUGGUUACUAAGUGCUGUGUAGGUGUGAAAAGCCUCAUUACCAUGUAAUUUUGUUGGGAGCAGACUUCCAAGUACCUGCUUUACUUUAUAUUCACAUACACAAAAAAAAGAUCAAAAUGCAUUUUAUUUCCUAACAAUAGCCAAUUUGGCUAUAAUUAUUGUGGAAUACUGAAUUUUAAGGCAUAGCACCCAAGUGACUCCCCACGUCGCUCCCUUCCGUACGUGAAUAUAUUCUUAUUUAUUGCCUUCCCCAUAAUGAACUUUGAGAUAAACAACAGAAAAAGUAAUUUGUUUUUUGACAAUGCUGAACCUUUGAAUAGAGAAAAUCACACAGUUAAACACAGAGCGCAGUCCUGUGUGGUAAGUGGUAUCCAUGGCAACCAAUAGAUUUUAUGCUAAGUCUGGCCUUUAAAAACAUUUCACGUUUACCACUGAGAAAAAGAUGGCCUUGAUUUAAAAAUGAUACAACAAGUACCUCGAAUGGGCAUGCUUUCUGCUCUGAGCUGCAAACACAAUUAAGAGGCAUCUCCUCAGCCCAGAUCACCUCAAUAGUAUCUGUGUCAUCCUUGAGGAUCAUCACGGCCAGCUGCAAAAAAAAGAAAGAGGCUGAAUAUUUUGUAUUCUGCUGCAGGGGCUGCGAGGCAGUUUGUUUUUUACUUGUUCUCCUUGUAUUUAACACCAGGAGUAAAAAAUAGGGAGUAAAAAUAGCACGUUUCCCUCUUAUCUUAGUCUGUGAUCAUGGCGACAGUGAAAAUAUUAUGGCCUGCUUAUCUUGGGAGUAGCUCCAAUCACGCCCGCUUAUUAUAACUUGAAAUAAUGGAUGGAGAAAUACCUACCAUACCAACUUCAGACUGAGCGACGCUAAAUUAGUUUCUGUUCACAUUUAGAAAGUUGGGUACCAAAAAUGGAAUGCAGUUGUGGCAAAGAGAGGAUGUUGCCUUAAUAAUACACUUGAAUAAAAUGAGAAAGGACAAGCCCCCUUCUUCUUUAAAAGGAAAAAAGAGAGAGAUUUGAUCGAUGAUGCAUCAAAGGAAGGAAACAUAAUUAAUGUCUUUGGGAGGAGUUUGUUUUGCUGAGCUAUUUGUAAAUGCUUCGAUAGCUCCCUUAAGAUGGCAUUUCUACGUUUUUUUCCCCAAGAUGAGUUGUCCUUUAUUCCUCAAAAUGGGAUUAUCUUGACCAUAUCAAGAAUUAGAGAAACCUCGAUAUAUUUCGUCCGAAGGUAUUUUCAGCUGGAAGGCUUUUGCAAUUGGCUGGUGUUAUGGGCUGAAUUGUGUCUCCCCUGAAUUCGUGUGUCGAAGCCCUCACCCCCAGUAGCUCAGAAUGUGACUUUAUUUGGAGAUUGGGCCUUUCAACAAGUGAUUAAAUUACAGUGAGUCUGCUGGUGUGGGUCCUAAUCCAAUCCGACUGGUGUCCUUAUAAGAAAAGAAGAUUUGGACACACAGAGACACACAGGGGAUGUGCAUUCACAGAGGGAAAAUGACGUGAGGACACAGCGAGAAGGCAACCAUCCGCGAGCCGAGAGAGGCCUCGGAAGAAACCAAACCUGCCAACACCUUAAGCUUGGACUUCUAGCUUCUAGAACUGUGAGAAAAUCCGUUUCUGUCAUAUAAGCCACCCAAUCUGUGGCAUUUUGUUAUGGUAGCCCUAGCAGAUCAAUGCAUCCAGGGCGGGAGUGAGGCAUCCUUUUACAGAAAGAACAGCUUUCCAGAAGGUGUGUUAAUCAAUACAUUGGGGAAGAAGGUCAGGAUGGAAGAAAGCCUCAGUUGUUCUAUCUUCCCUGAAGCAUGGGGGUUUUCUGGGGGACAGUAUUUGUCUACUUCACAAAUACUUCUCCCACCUCCUCUGACUCAGUCGUUCUUAUUUGUCAGUGGCAAAAAAAAGACAAUUUUGUGACACCUUACUGUCACCUUUAAUUAAGCAAGGAUGCUUUCUGAGCCAUCCACAUUUCAUAAAGACAACAGCUUACACUUCUUUCAUAUCGCCAAAUACCUGAGCAGUGACAUAGACCCAGGAGGGUGGUGAUGCCAGAAAGGAAUGUGUGUGUGC